AACGAGGCCGACCUGCGGCUGAGUUACCUGCGGAAGGAUCAUUAACGAGUGUAACCUAUCCUUUAAUAAAAGGGUGGUACCUCCCGUCCUUUGCAGGCCCCCUUUUUUAUGGGGGGCUUUUUUUUUAAGACUUUCUGCUUCGGCGGGGUUACUCCCGCCGGAACACCCUCAAAAAACUCUAAAAAAAAACCGUUCAGUCCGAGAACUUUUUAAAAAUAUAAAAAAAACUUUUAACAAUGG
rnacentral:misc_RNA from 1 species